UCAUUGAAUUUAACAUUGAGUGGAUAUGGGGUGGUACUGUGAAUUUUUUGAACAUAGUACGGCCCAUGUCGGCUCACUGAUAAAUUCCAUUU